GUCCUAUAAAGAUGUAUCAGCGCAAGCCAGCGGAGCAUCUCCCUGUAGGACGAAGUUUAUCAGAAGCUCUGACAACAAUUUUCAUUGUGUAGCUUCGGUUGAAAUGAGAUGAGUCAGAGUGGAAUAGGUUAACCGUAAGACCUUGGGUUGGAAAACUCUAAAAUUGACCUAGAGAUACGGAUUUAUUAAUUCUCGUAUUUUCUAGUUACGGUUUA
rnacentral:sRNA from 12 species